CCACUUAAGUUAUAACAUAUAUUGUGCGUCCCAUAUAUUGGGAGUAUUCUUUAUAUACCACAUAGUUUAUUAUCAAUCCUAUUUCAAGUCUAUUGAAAAACACUAUUUAUUUAAGCGAACAAAUGAAUAGUCGGGAAUUUAUGACAUAUCAAAAAAGUUGUUGCACAUCCACUCACAUGCUGCAUCAAUUGGGUAUAUGCUACAUACUCAACUUUCG
rnacentral:lncRNA from 1 species